GACAUCUUAGCUCCAAUCCAAUCAACUUUUAUUCCUUUGGAAGCGUACAGAGUUGGCAGGCCUUUUGAGCCAGUUGUACAGUUAUACCACUGACCUUCCAAUUACAGGCAGGGGCUGAUGGUCCACUCUACUACAGCAAUUCAGUCAGACUACAUCAGUCAUUCAUUUCAUUUCACUCAUCAGAUAGUUUUGUACUGUCAGAAUAAAUAGUCUGGUUAACAAUAACAAAGACAACUUCAGAAAGGUACAAAACAGCUAUAGAGCACUGAAUAUACUGUAUGUUUACAAUUGUAAGCAUAGAAGACUUCACUUAAUAUAAGUUACUGUAGUUUUGUUAUGUCCCGAAGCCCAGUUUACAGUAAAUAUGUAGUGUAGUGUGACCUUUGAUUCUAUUCGAAGGCAUGUCAUGAUGUAAUGACAGAAGAGUAAGGUGCCUAGUACUUGGUUUGGUCUGUGGUACACUGUGUCUGUGUGGGGGGUGGGGGCGGGCAAGGACGAAGGAUGAGUACCCCGCUGGCCCCAUAUAAGAACACAAACACAUGGGUGCAUGACAUCCCACCCGGCGUACAGACACAGCCCAUGUGACCGGCUGGCUCAGAGACAGCUGUGACUGUCUAACUGUGGCCCAGGUCAGAUCCUGGCCCGGAUCACAUGCUGCUUAACCCACGUCCAUGUCAGACCGCUAAUCAGUGACCAAUGUAAACGGACCUCUCAAAGCUAUCUUGGACGAGGCACCGUACCCCGUCUUGUGGAUUGAAAAGAGAUAGAGAGAGUGUGUGUGUGUUUCUGUGUAUGUGUGUGUGUGUGUGUGUGUGUGUGUGUUGGAGGGAAAGCGCUUCAGUGGCAGUGGACACUGACAGAAGUGGUCAUUCCUUGACAUUCCUGCUGGGUUAUGGUGGGGACAUGUAUUACGGUUGGGGCAGGUAUCCUGCUGAGUUAUGGUGGGGACCUGUAUUACGGUUAUGGUGGGGACAGGUAUUACGGUUGGGGCAGGUAUGUUGCUGGGUUAUGGUGGGGACCUGUAUUACGGUUGGGGCAGGUAUCCUGCUGGGUUAUGGUGGGGAUCUGUAUUACGGUUGGGGCAGGUAUCCUGCUGAGUUAUGGUGGGGAUCUGUAUUACGGUUGGGGCAGGUAUCCUGCUGGGUUAUGGUGGGGACCUGCAUUACGGUUGGGGCAGGUAUCCUGCUGGGUUAUGGUGGGGACCUGCAUUACAGUUGGGGCAGGUAUCCUGUUGCAGCAGCCCACCCUACUUCUGCCCUUUCCAGAGCACCUCCUCCCAGCAAACCUGUUGCCUAACCAGAGUCCCCCAGACUGGACUGAACGUGCACUUCUUGUACUGUCCCGCCUGUUCUGUAUGGACAUGCAGAUAUGGUACUGUAGCCACACACUGGGGCUGUUCGACAGUACGUAUCAGACGACAGCAAUUUAUCAUUGCAUUAAGACAUCUAAGCGCAGCUUACAUAAAUUCCUGAGUGUCCCAUUUGAGGGAAAUAGCCUUAUUCACCCGAACCCGCCAUCAUGUCUCUUUGCCUGGUGUAGACUACAGACAGCACCAUAGACAGUACAACGUUCAGCUAAGUGGAGUAACAUCAUUGCUUUGAUCCAGUAGUAAUGACAUGAAUGCUGUCCUUUUAAGAAUGUAGUGCAUUAUUUUGGGGUCACCUUGGACUCCAGUCUAUCGGUGUAAUCUGGUUUGUCUGAUACUGGCCCUCUACCUCCUCCACCAUCUCUCCAGCUGACAUAUCUAUUGGUCCUUUGACAGCCCCUCAGACCCACUGUAAUCUAGUCACAGGCUUCUCCUUCAGUCAGCUGUUGUUGCUGGGAUGAAUGGCGACUCGCCUUUACAAAGUGUAUAGGAGUUAAGUGUGUCUCAAUGUCAAAGUGCAGCUGGAAAACUGGAUAGAAGGGGGGAUGAGUGUUGAUUCAUGUGGUCUAAAUAACAUGCAGCUUUAAGAGGCUGGUGCUGACAUUGUUGCAUCGAGAAUGAUGGAUGGUCAGUAGUAUUCUUAGGCACUGGAUAAAAUCAAAGCAACUGUUCAUCAUAAUCAAACAAAUUCUCAAAAUAGGUGUUAUAUUAUUGCUGUAGAAUUGUUAUAUAAUUCAGUAUGUACCAUAAGGCUUUUGGUGCAGUCAGUGUUUGCUGAGAGAGACAGUGAGUAUAUUUAUAGAAGGUUGGAAAGCAGGGCCUAUCUACUUGUCAGUGCUUUUAAAAUUGUGCAUCUUUUUAAAUUGUUGCUGUAUUUAUUUUUUAUUGGAGUUAGAUGGUACCGUAUGGAUGGUGUAUUUUUAUUUCCCUAUGUUUGUUUUUUGUGUUUUAAAUUAGGUUUUGUUUGUGAUGCCUGUUUUGGCCAGUACACUCCUGAAAUAGAUUUGUAAUCUUUCCUGGAUAAAGGUUAAAUAAAAAUAAAUCCCAGCUUCAUUGUUUACCUGGCCCCACUAUCAAUGAUCCCAUUCAGUGUUUACCUGGCCCCUCUAUCAAUGAUCCCAUUCAGGGUUUUAC
ensembl:lncRNA